GGCAAAGGACUGGUAUGAAUCCUUCCCUGAAUGGUAGAAUUUACCACGAAAGGCAUCUGCUUCUGGAACUUGGUUUUUUGGGAGGUUUUAAAUUGCUGAUAUGAUGAGUACUGGUGUUUUAUGGUAUCAGAUCGCCUACUGCCUGGUCAACAGCAACUCCAGCACGUUCACCACAAUGGAGAUGGGUGCCAUGGUGAGGCAAUUCAUGGCCACUGAGCUGGCCCCAGAGUCAGCAUACAUCUUCAGGCUGAUGACCAAGAUGAUGCAGGGCUGGGGGAGCCCCUAGGGCCACCGUCAUCACCACUGAGAAGCAAGGUGGUGCUUUGAGGCUCAGG